rnacentral:rRNA from 1 species
CAACCGCCGCGGUAAUACCGGCGGCUCGAGUGGUGGCCACUUUUAUUGGGCUUAAAGCGUUCGUAGCUGGGUUGUUAAGUCUCUUGGGAAAUCUGACGGCUUAACCGUCAGGCGUCUAAGAGAUACUGGCAAUCUUGGAACCGGGAGAGGUGAGGGGUACUUCGGGGGUAGGAGUGAAAUCCUGUAAUCCUCGAGGGACCACCUGUGGCGAAGGCGCCUCACCAGAACGGCUUCGACAGUGAGGGACGAAAGCUGGGGGAGCAAACCGGAUUAGAUACCCGGGUAGUCCCAGCCGUAAACGAUGCGCGUUAGGUGUAUCGGUGACCACGAGUCACCGAGGUGCCGAAGGGAAACUGUGAAACGUGCCGCCUGGGAAGUACGGUCGCAAGGCUGAAACUUAAAGGAAUUGGCGGG